rnacentral:rRNA from 1 species
GGUGUAAGGGUGAAAUCUGUGGAUAUCGAGAAGAACAUCAACGGCGAAGGCAACUUUCUGGGCCGUUUCUGACGCUAAACUGCGAAAGUAGGGUAGCGAACAGAAUUAGAUACUCUGGUAGUCCUAGCCGUAAACGAUGAGCACUAGGUGUUGGUCCUUCACGGGAUCAGUGCCGCAGCUAACGCAUUAAGUGCUCCACCUGGGGACUACGGCCGCAAGGCUAAAACUCAAAGGAAUUGACGGGGACCCGCACAAGCGGUGGAACAUGUGGUUUAAUUCGAUGCUACGCGAAAAACCUCACCAGGGUUUGACAUGUAUGUAGUAGUGAACCGAAAGGGGAUCGACCUGUCAAGUCAGGAACUUACACAGGUGCUGCAUGGCUGUCGUCAGCUCGUGUCGUGAGGUGUUGGGUUAAGUCCCGCAACGAGCGCAACCAUUUUCUUUUGUUGCUAUUACAUUUGGCCUUCGGGCCAGGUGUAAGCACUCUAAAGAGACUGCCUGGGUUAACCAGGAGGAAGGCGGAGAUGACGUCAAGUCAGUACGGCCUUUAUGCUCUGGGCUACACACGUGUUACAAUGGCUGGUACAAAGGGUUGCCAACCCGCGAGGGGGAGCUAAUCUCAAAAAACCAGCCUCAGUUCGGAUUGGAGUCUGAAAUUCGACUCCAUGAAGCCGGAAUCGCGUAGUAAUGGCAGAUCAGC